ACAUCACAGCCUAACAUUACCCAUCCAUUUAGCCAUUGUUAUUAGACAGUAAAUGUUACCACUCUUAUUACUGGAAUAGCCACAGACAUAACAAUGUUAGAGUAUCCUAAACCAAAUAUUUUUGGAUCUAGGGAUUUGAGACAUUUUUUAAAUGUAUAAGGGAAUAAUACUUAGGAGGGUAGUGGUAUUGCUUGUACAUAACCUACACUUGAUGAUGUGUGUUGUACUGUUCCAGGCAGAACAGCUUUACUGAACUCAGUGAUCCAUCUUUGAUUUUUGUGAUUCUGUCUUUCCUUCCACACAUUCUCCUUUCAAUUUAUUUAAAAAAAUAAUACCUGAUUUAUUUAAUUGGAACGUAUUCCUUUAAUUAAACUUGGAAAUACUGUUGAGAGUGGAAAUACUCUUGAGAAAAAUACUAACUGUAUUUCCUAGAUUAGCUUAUUACUUUUUAUGGGAACUUGCAAAAGAGGAAAAAAAAGCUAACUAACAACCAUUUGAAAUGAAAUCCCUUAGUCUUCAUGGAUAAGUAUUUUCCUGUAAAUAUUUGAUUCUCCAUUUACCCACUGUAUGUCCAGUAAAAACAAGGGAUGGAAAGUGGCCAUUUCGGUGACCUUGUGUCCCUCCCUUAGAGGAAGGCAGCUGACAGAAUUGCUUGUGAAUUAUUUGAUGAGGAAAGUUACAGUGUUGCACAACCUUUGUAACCAGGUUUGGAUAAAAUAAGCAAGAAGGAAAUACAUAAAGGAGUCUGCUGCCUCAACAAAGGCAUGUGGAUGUAGCUGUUGAGUAGAUCUCUACCAUUUUAGAUCCUCUGUGGUAUCAGCCUUGCCUCCAGCCACCACUCCAGAAGUAACCAAUAUUUCCAUACAUCUUACAGCACAUGUUCUGUGUGCACAUGAAUAUGCCAAGUAUCUCAGAACAUCUCAGAUGACACCAGAUGUUUGACUUGGAAACUGGGGACCACCCUUCACACCUGCAUGCUUGUGAGCCUGUUGAAUCUGAACUAAAUAAAUACACUACAAGUCUCUCUUACUGUGCAGGCAAUGUAUACCCAACUUCAGAAUCAGUCUUUUUAUGCUUCUUUAAGAAUAAUUCCCUCACUGCAAAGCUUUAGACUGAUAUUCUUUAUCUUCUCUUGUUAUGAGAUGUUAAAGACAAAAAUUGCAUAAUAACAUAAUGAUAUGUUAAAGCAGAAAUGCUUUGGAAAUUGAUAUCCAUGCUCCUUAAGCCAGCACUUCCCUUCAUUGCUUCCAGUUUUCUCAGCUGCCAAAGAGGACAGGUUUUUUUUUACCUCCUCCCCAUUUUUUCCAUAUGCCUGUGCAUUACACUAUCUAUAGGGUGACAAAUUUGGAGUGCACACAAAGAAUUAACAUAUUUAAUUUUUAGAAAAUACACACACAUAACAAUUCUUUGUUUGAUUUAGAAGAGUGAUUAUAGCCAAAGUGGCAUUAUACCAAUUACUAGCUCUUUCCCAGAAAAAUUAACAAUAGAUUUAAAUCCAAACUGCUAGAUGACCUGGGAAGCUCACUGUUGUGAAUGUGGCUCUAGAAUUAUUUUCUUUUUGACACCAUACCUCACUGGAGAAGUUAAAGUGCUGCUAUGUCAUGGAUGUUGACAUAAGUGGAAAAAUUAAAAAGAAAAAUUAGUUUAUGAAACAAGUUAUCUGGCAUUUAAUGGUGAAUGGUGGAAGGUUAAAGAUGUUAAGAUCAUAGCUGAUAACAGAAAACUAGAAAACAAAAGAAGUAGCCUAUGACCUAUGGCUUUCAGGCAUAUAGGAAAAUAAACAUCUGACUUGAAAGGUUUAAUCCUUAACCCCUUUACAUUUUGCAAGGGAAGCUGCUUAUAGUUGGACAUUUUGCAUUUCCACUCAACAGGCCACCAUGCUGGCAUACAGUGUCUGAAUCAGAAAUAUGGAUUCUAACCAAAAUGUACUGCUGAACAUGAGGAUCCUCGACUCUGCUCAGCACACAUCCACAUGGCAAACGAUGGCUCCAUUCUGGUCAACAGAAAAAUGAAAUAUUUGCUGUAUAGG